rnacentral:rRNA from 1 species
UACGUAGGGUGCAAGCGUUGUCCGGAUUUAUUGGGCGUAAAGAGCUCGUAGGCGGUUCGGUAAGUCGGGUGUGAAAACUUUGGGCUCAACCCAAAGCGUGCACUCGAUACUGCCAUGACUAGAGUUCGGUAGGGGAGUGGGGAAUUCCUAGUGUAGCGGUGAAAUGCGCAGAUAUUAGGAGGAACACCGGUGGCGAAGGCGGGUCUCUGGGCCGAUACUGACGCUGAGGAGCGAAAGCGUGGGGAGCGAACAGG